GAAGAAUAUUAGAUUUACUUAAUGCUCUGCCCACAAUCCAGCAGCUCGGCAACAGGACGUUGCCGAGAGUGAGAGCUGAGCCAUGGAUGGCGAAUCUCGAACGGCUGCGCCAAAUUACCAAAACCUACAUCAGAGCAUUUAGAAAAUCUUAUAUUCGUA
rnacentral:ncRNA from 1 species